CUGGCGAAGCCGGAGAAUCCGUACAGCAAAAAGCUGAAGUCCUGCAAAAGCUACGCCGGUGGGUUAUCGGCGGCUUUUAGUAAAUCGGUGGCGAAGAAGACGUCGGCGUCGAGGGGAUCUUGCUCUUCGUUGACGGCGAAGAGAAGUGCCGGGAAUUUCCUCAUCGGCGGUAGACCUCCGAUCCCGCAGCCUCACAGAUCUGCCAGCACCGUUGCCAUUGCGAAUCAAACUGCCUUGUUUGCUUGAUUAUUAAUUAAUUCACGUCGGUUUUAAUUUUUUUGGUUUUCCUUUUCUUUUAUAUGUAUAUAUUGAAGGAUUAUUUAUGCGGCUUAGUUAAUUUAAUUUAUGUGGUUCACGUUUUUUACAUAUAUGAAUAUAUAUAUAUAUAUAUUAACCAUAAUAUAAUUUUUUAAUCUAUGAUUUUUUAAUAUAAUGAAUAAUGUAAUUUCAAUUUGGAAUUUUUCAAGGUAGAUUUUCUUUAGAAAAAAG
rnacentral:lncRNA from 1 species